CCUACGGGGAGCAGCAGUGGGGAAUAUUGGACAAUGGGGGGAACCCUGAUCCAGCGACGCCGCGUGAGUGAAGAAGUAUUUCGGUAUGUAAAGCUCUAUCAGCAGGGAAGAAAAUGACGGUACCUGACUAAGAAGCCCCGGCUAACUACGUGCCAGCAGCCGCGGUAAUACGUAGGGGGCAAGCGUUAUCCGGAUUUACUGGGUGUAAAGGGAGCGUAGACGGCAGCACAAGUCUGGAGUGAAAUGCCGGGGCUUAACCCCGGAACUGCUUUGGAAACUGUGCAGCUAGAGUGCAGGAGAGGUAAGUGGAAUUCCUAGUGUAGCGGUGAAAUGCGUAGAUAUUAGGAGGAACACCAGUGGCGAAGGCGGCUUACUGGACUGUAACUGACGUUGAGGCUCGAAAGCGUGGGGAGCAAACAGGAUUAGAUACCCGAGUAGUC
rnacentral:rRNA from 1 species